rnacentral:rRNA from 1 species
AAAAGCUCGUAGUUGGAUCUCAGCUCCGGCCGGACGGUCCGCCUACCGGUGGUUACUGUUCGUCGCCGAGCGUUCAGGCGGUUAUUCUUGAUGAUCUUCACCGGUUGUCUCGGGUGACCGCCAAGUUUACUUUGAAAAAAUUAGAGUGCUCAAAGCAGGCGCGACGCCUGAAUAAUUGUGCAUGGAAUAAUGGAAUAGGACCUCGGUUCUAUUUUGUUGGUUUUCGGAACACGAGGUAAUGAUUAAGAGGGACAGACGGGGGCAUUCGUAUUGCGACGCUAGAGGUGAAAUUCUUGGACCGUCGCAAGACGAACUACUGCGAAAGCAUUUGCCAAGAAUGUUUCCAUUAAUCAAGAACGAAAGUUAGAGGUUCGAAGGCGAUCAGAUACCGCCCUAGUUCUAACCAUAAACGAUGCCAGCCAGCAAUUCGCCUGUGUUCCUCAAAUGACACGGCGGGCGGCUUCCGGGAAACCAAAGCUUUUGGGUUCCGGGGGAAGUAUGGUUGCAAAGCUGAAACUUAAAGGAAUUGACGGAAGGGCACCACCAGAAAUGGAGCCUGCGGCUUAAUUUGACUCAACACGGGAAAACUUACCCGGCCCGGACACAGGAAGGAUUGACAGAUUAAGAGCUCUUUCUUGAUUCUGUGGGUGGUGGUGCAUGGCCGUUCUUAGUUGGUGGGGCGACUUGUCUGGUUAAUUCCGAUAACGAACGAGACUCUAGCCUACUAAAUAGACGUUCCGAUCCUCUUUCGUCGGACGUUCUUCUUAGAGGGACAAGCGGCGUUUAGCCGCACGAGACAGAGCAAUAACAGGUCUGGGAUGCCCUUAGAUGUCCGGGGCCGCACGCGCGCUACAUUGAAGGAAUCAGCGUGUGCUUUCCCUGUCCGACAGGACUGGGUAACCCGUUGAACCUCCUUCGUGCUGGGGAUUGGAGAUUGUAAUUGUCCUCCAUGAACGAGGAAUUCCCAGUAAGCACGAGUCAUCAGCUCGUGUUGAUUACGUCCCUGCCCUUUGUCCACACCGCCCGUCGCUACUACCGAUUGAAUGAUUUAGUGAGGUCUUCGGACUGGCGCUCGGAUUGGCCUUCGCGGUCGAGCCGGUGUGCCGGAAAGAUGACCAAACUUGAUCACUUAGAGGAAGUAAAAGUCGUAACAAGGUUUU